UACGUAGGGUCCGAGCGUUGUCCGGAAUUAUUGGGCGUAAAGGGCUCGUAGGCGGUCUGUCGCGUCGGCUGUGAAAACUCGGGGCUCAACCCCGAGCCUGCAGUCGAUACGGGCAGACUAGAGUGCUGUAGGGGAGAACGGAAUUCCUGGUGGUAGCGGUGAAAUGCGCAGGAUAUCAGGAGGAACACCGGUGGCGAAGGCGGUUCUCUGGGCAUGUCCUGACGCUGAGGAGC
rnacentral:rRNA from 1 species